rnacentral:rRNA from 1 species
AGUAUUUGUUUAGGUCUUAAAACUAAAAGAAUUUGGCGGUAUUUUAGUCUAUUUAGAGGAAUUUGUAUUUUAAUCGAUAUUCCACGUUGAACCUUACUUUAAUUAUUUCUUGUAUACCUCUGUUUAUUGGAUAUACUUUUAGGUUAUUGAUUUUCUGAAUAAUAAAUUAUUUAAGAUUUCAAGUCAAGGUGCAGUUUAUAUUAAAGUUAAUUAUGAAUUACAAUAAAUUUUAUUUAAUUAACGGAUUUAAUUUUUAAUAUUUAUUUGAGGGUGAAUUUAAUUGUAAUUUUGAAAAGAUUAUUAUUAUGAUUAUUUAGUUCUA